UGUUGCUUCCUGGGGCAGCCAGAGCACCUCUCCUCUAGCUGCUGCUGAUCACAGAGGGCUACCUGAUAACAGCACGGGCUAGCAGCAGCCUAGGGCUGAGCUUGCCGUGAGGAGCAGCCGAAAAAUUGUGCACCCGUGGUGGUAGGCGUGUACAGGUUUGGCUUUACCUUGGUGCUCUUUGGGUGCUAGGAAGCUGGUGUUGUGUGUGGCAGGGCUCCUGGGGCUGGUGGCACUGCAGUACCAGCCUCCAUGGUCUGAUCUGGUUGCCACAACCUCGUACUUGCACCUGAACUGGCUUUGCUUCUUCUGGCUGGACCUGGAGGGCAAUGCCUGUGGUCUUCAUGUUUAGAUGGCUCAGGAAGAUCUCUCUCUGGAGCUGCCAUUGGUGCCAGAAACCUCCAGGACUGCACCAGGUCUGCGUACAGGAGGGCCAGCCGCUGCAGGCACCCUGAGCGCUCCCAAUACCAGGGAGCAGGGGCCUGCCUUUGUAAGAAAGUUGAAGGUGGCCUGGCCUGGAUUAGGAGGGACUGAGGCUUUUACAAGGAACUUCACCUGUGUGAGGUGCUGAGCCGUAGGUGGCACCUCCUCUCGGCUCGUGCACCUACCUACGUGACUGCGCUGCUGCUCGUGGUGGAGGCGCCUGGAUGCUUGUGGGGAGCAGUGCUGCUGUGGGGCAGGCUCAUGCUAUUUGAGGAGUAACUUGUGAAGAGGCGACUGAUAAUGGUAAAAGUUUCCUUGACUCCAGCACUGGUGUUUUGAGCCUCUAGGAGAACCUGUUGCCUUCAGCAAUGGGAGCCUGCAUGUACAGAUCUGUGGAAGUGGUUUUGGCAAUGCUGCAGUGCCUAUUUCCAUCCCAGGAGGAGUCACUUCUGUUAGUUUGGGAGAAAAAUAUACCAAGCAUGAGGCCCUGAAAAUAGUUGGCUUGUCUCAUCUUCCUUUUGGGAUCAACUCUGGGAAUAAAACCCUGAUGGUGAGUGUCCCAUUGAUGUCUGUAA